CAGUGUCUCUCCCACUCUAAGAGAGCAGAGAGCAGAAGGAACAGAUACAGUUUAUUUAACAGACAACGACCGGGUAAAAUAUGUUUUAAUUUCUUUUUAACCAUAAGAAAAAAAGUGCAAAUAGUAUUUCUCGUCGUUUUCACUCAGGUCCCUGUGGAUACCCAGAUAUCAGUUUAACAGAAACCAACCGGCCUUCUGCUGAGCUACAACAUUCUCUUUAGUUGAAUGAAGCCAAAUGGACUGGGUGAUUUCUCCUUUUCAACUCGUUUCGCUGCCAAGUGAAGAAGAUCAUUCAUCGUCUGCUUGACUGGGCUCAGCAUUACAUAAUAAAAGAGAGGAUGAGAAGAAAAAAAGAGUGGGAGGCAGAGAUGAAGCCAAACAUCGCCACUGGCUCUCUUCCUCCUCUUCAAGCCCAUCUCUCCAUGGCAAGGAAGGGUGGGAGUGCACCGAGGCCAGCCAGGGUGAGGCAUCAUGGGUUUAAGAAGCAUCCUGAACCCCGCUCGGUCAACAGCACCUCUGGAGCUCAGAGCUCAAAGCUCAGAUAGAAAUCAAUACGGGGGAAGAGAGACUGAUGCUGGAUCAUCCAACCUAACCCUCAGCCUGCAGGCCAGAUGACCUCCUACACAUACAUGGCAUUACACACUGACACAUAUACAAAUGCAUACUGACAUACAGCUAUGCUAUCUUUCGCACAAUCACCCACACUCAUGACUACUAUACACCUACACAUGCAUGUGUUUGUGUGCCUGCUUUUUCUCGAGGCCAUGUUAUUUUGGAGUUGUGUCUACAAUCCAAACAGGCCUCAAUUAUUUUUUCCUAAAAAUGGCAAAGGUCCUCACUUUGCGUUUCCCCCACUUUAGCGCCAAAUAUCUACUUGUGUCUUUUUUACGUCACCUUCCACCUCUGUGUGGGGAGAAAAAUCAUUCAAAAAUAUAUCAAAUAUCUACAAGCAUGGACUUCCUCCCCCGAGCAACUCAUUGCCUAUUCAAUGGCAAGAAGAAAGAGGAAAGCAGCUGUAUCAUGUCCCACUGUGCUCCACAACGCUGCACCAGAAAAACACUUUGCCUCUACCGUAAUAGCUGCUUCUUUCAUAAGAAGCCAGAUUACAAGAUAGACAGCAAAAGCGACACAUUCUGAUAUCUGAACAUGGUGUGGACUUAAUGAGAGACAGAGCAUAAGAAUCUGAGGAGCACCCAGGGAACCGGUGAUGACAGCUCAAGCAAUGAACUUAAACUACAGUGAAGAUCAUUUACCCGAGCGAUACAGACAAGGACAACGUGUGUUCCAACAGAAGCGAAUGAUAAGAGGCUACACUAUGGUAAAGAUGGUGAUUUUCAGCUGCUCUUAUUCUGCUCGAACGAAGCAAGAGGAAAACACCUAUAAAAAUAUCACCAUAGGACUCGAGAGAUUUUUAUACAAAGUACAAAAUGAGCUUCUGCUGAGCUUACCAUUACUCUUGGGCUGCUUUAGAUUAAUAACAUGGACAUUUCAUCAUGGCAUAUUUGCUCGCCAGGUUAUUUCAGAACACUGGGCUACAAGAGGUAAGUACAUAAAAAGUGGCAAGUAAUAUUUAUUAAUGCUAAAUAAUCCAUAUAUAGUAUGUAUGUUUGUAGGUAUGUAGGUAUAUA